rnacentral:lncRNA from 1 species
AUGUCUCUCCCUUUUUACAUUCUCUCUUUCUCCCCUCUACAGGAGAAUAAAUUUCUAUUCCAAUGUUCUUUCUCUCUCGAGAAUUCUCGAGAAUUGUCAUUCUCGGUCACCGAGAGACUACCACUAAUACUGGCUAAGCUGGGGCUGCACAGGGCUUCUGACACCGAGAUACUGAGGGAUGUCUCUGUGUAUGUGAAAGACAAUGUUGUUCUCAAAAACCUCAAACCACACAAAGCUUAAUGAACAAAGGCUAGUUUGAAUUCCAUCCUUAUCACAUAAAAAUCGGCUACUAUGUGUAAGCUGCCUGUCUCAUGCUCUCAGGUUCUGUGGGGCUAAAUGCUUCCUCUCAAGGAGAGGAUUUUAGGGGAAGGAGCUGCAGGGCACCAAGUGCAGGGCACAUUUAGGCAUGUAGGCAUGUAGGUAUGUAGUUGGGGCUUGAAGGAUGGGACAGAAGUUGGAUGGAGACUGAAUCAAAUGAAUGAAUUGUAACAUUAUUCCUUUUAAAUUUGUGAGACCUUGAAGGUACACUUUCCUAGACUUCAGACUCUCUCUCUCUCUCUCUCUCUCCCUCUCUCUCUCUCUCUCUCUCUCUCUCUCUCUCUCUCUCUCUCUCUCUCUCUUUCUCUCUCUCUCUCUGUCCUUUCCCUCCCCCCUCUUUCUCUGUUUCUGUUUCUGUCUCUGUCUCUCCUUCUCCUACCACUUUCCGUGUGUUUAUGUGUGUGUGUGUGUGUGUGUGUGUGUGUGUGUGUGUGAGAGAGAGAGAGAGAGAGAGAGAGAGAGAGAGAGAGAGAGAGAGAGAGAGAGAGAGAAAUGAUAGGAUAGGUAGGAUGAGGAGAUAAUUUCUUCUAAGUUUCUAUGUAAACCCAGCUGGGUUCCCUUGGAAGAAAAGUGACUGAUUUGUCAGCUACUAUUAACAAAUCAAAUUAUAAAACUGUUUGGAUCCCACUUGUACAUAACCCAGCUACUUGGAACAUGACUCAAGACUUAGAAACAGACAAAAAGGUUUAAAUGGAUAUCAAGGACCAAGCACUAAAGCUUAUUGAUUUUACUCACAGAAGAAUAAAUAUACUUUCUCAGACUUAUGACUGUCA